rnacentral:rRNA from 1 species
GACGGCACUUGAGGAAUAAGCCACGGCUAAUUCCGUGCCAGCAGCCGCGGUAAUACGGGAGUGGCAAGCGUUAUCCGGAAUUAUUGGGCGUAAAGCGUCCGCAGGCGGCCCUGUAAGUCUGUCGUUAAAGCGUGGAGCUUAACUCCAUUUAAGCGAUGGAAACUACAGGGCUUGAGUGUGGUAGGGGCAGAGGGAAUUCCCGGUGUAGCGGUGAAAUGCGUAGAUAUCGGGAAGAACACCAGUGGCGAAGGCGCUCUGCUGGGCCAUAACUGACGCUCAUGGACGAAAGCCAGGGGAGCGAAAGGGAUUAGAUACCCCUGUAGUCCUGGCCGUAAACGAUGAACACUAGGUGUCGGGGGAAUCGACCCCCUCGGUGUCGUAGCCAACGCGUUAAGUGUUCCGCCUGGGGAGUACGCACGCAAGUGUGAAACUCAAAGGAAUUGACGGGGGCCCGCACAAGCGGUGGAGUAUGUGGUUUAAUUCGAUGCAACGCGAAGAACCUUACCAGGGUUUGACAUCCUGCGAACCCCCUGGAGACGGGGGGGUGCCUUCGGGAACGCAGUGACAGGUGGUGCAUGGCUGUCGUCAGCUCGUGUCGUGAGAUGUUGGGUUAAGUCCCGCAACGAGCGCAACCCACGUCGUUAGUUGCCAGCAUUCAGUUGGGCACUCUAGCGAGACCGCCGGUGAUAAACCGGAGGAAGGUGUGGAUGACGUCAAGUCAUCAUGCCCCUUACAUCCUGGGCUACACACGUACUACAAUGCUACGGACAAAGGGCCGCAAGCUCGCGAGAGUUAGCGAAUCCCAUAAACCGUGGCUCAGUUCAGAUCGUAGGCUGCAACUCGCCUACGUGAAGGAGGAGUCGCUAGUAAUCGCAGGUCAGCAUACUGCGGUGAAUACGUUCCCGGGCCUUGUACACACCGCCCGUCACACCAUGGAAGUUGGCCACGCCCGAAGUCGUUACUCCAACCCUUGUGGAGGAGGACGC